CGACACCACCUAGUCAGCGCGUACAUGC
rnacentral:rRNA from 1 species